GAUGAACGCUGGCGGCGUGCCUAAUACAUGCAAGUCGAGCGAACGGACGAGAAGCUUGCUUCUCUGAUGUUAGCGGCGGACGGGUGAGUAACACGUGGAUAACCUACCUAUCAUACUGGGAUAACUUCGGGAAACCGGAGCUAAUACCGGAUGAUAUUUUGAACCGCAUGGUUCAAAAGUGAAAGACGGUCUUGCUGUCACUUAUAGAUGGAUACGCGCUGCAUUAGCUAGUUGGUAAGGUAACGGCUUACCAAGGCAACGAUGCAUAGCCGACCUGAGAGGGGGAUCGCCCACACUGGAACUGAGACACGGUCCUGAGUCCUACGGGAGGCAGCAGUAGGGAAUCUGCCGCAAUGGGCGAAAGCCUGACGGAGCAACGGCGAGUGAGUGAUGAAGGUCUUCGGAUCGGAAAACUCUGUUAUUAGGUAAGAACAUCUGUGGAAGUAACUGUGCACAGCUUGACGGUACCGGAUCAGAAAGCCACGGCUAACUACGUG
rnacentral:rRNA from 1 species